GCUGUUGACCCAGUCCAAUUCAAGAUUCAAGAUUCAAAGUCUCUCUUUUUCUCAUUUGUUUUACAUCAUAGACAGGGUAUCAGCUGAGCAGCAGCCAGUGGAAAUCCCUUUUUCCCUUAUCAGCAGUGACAGAGCACAGGGGAACCCCGGGGGAGCCAGGCCAGCUGGCAGGCCUGUGGGCAGUGGCUGGUGCGUGUCUGGCCCCUGGCCCUCGGUUUCAGUCUCACUCACAACCUCAUAACCCCAAAGCCCUGGAUUAUAGAGCCGUGCACUUUUAUGUGCCACUAAUGUCACAGCCCGGCUCAACCAGAGCAGAUUCAGGCAACUUUACUGGCUACUGAUGAAAUCUAUAAAGCAUUUAUCUUCUGCAUGUUUAGACUUCUGUGUCCCAGUUAAAAAGAAGCAUGAUUUCCACACCAAAAAAUAAAGAGAACAUCAUUUUGUUGGUUUCUACUGCAA